rnacentral:lncRNA from 1 species
ACACGUGGCAGGAGGCGAUUGGCUUGUGCUCUAAUGGGAAGGGAAAGAAGAGAAUGAGGUCGACCACGAUGAUGGCGAUGGAGAGUUUCGGAAUGCAGUUGGAUUCGUGGGGAUGGUGCUUUCGCAGAAGAAGCUGGUCAUGGUUAGUUCCAAUUUCAAUACCCACUUGUUAGAUUUCACUCUCUAUGUGGCCGUCUCUCUCUUGUUGCAUCUCUCUUUCGCCGCAUCUCUCUCUCGAACUCCAUAAAAGGAGCUUGAGCUCUCUCCUCCGCAUGUCUCUCUCUCCGCCGCAUCUCUCUCAGCCUCUCUCUCCGCCUCUCUCUCCCCCAC